rnacentral:rRNA from 1 species
AGUAGUUUGAUCAUGGCUCAGGACGAACGCUGGCGGCGUGCUUAACACAUGCAAGUCGAACGGUGACCCAGGGCUUGCCCUGGUGAUCAGUGGCGAACGGGUGAGUAACACGUGGGCAACCUGCCCCUGACUUCGGGAUAACUCCUCGAAAGAGGAGCUAAUACCGGAUACGACCACUUCGGACAUCCGAUGGUGGUGGAAAGUUUUUCGGUCAGGGAUGGGCCCGCGGCCUAUCAGCUAGUUGGUGGGGUAAUGGCCUACCAAGGCGACGACGGGUAGCCGGCCUGAGAGGGCGACCGGCCACACUGGGACUGAGACACGGCCCAGACUCCUACGGGAGGCAGCAGUGGGGAAUAUUGCGCAAUGGGCGAAAGCCUGACGCAGCGACGCCGCGUGAGGGAUGAAGGCCUUCGGGUUGUAAACCUCUUUCAGCAGGGACGAAGCGAAAGUGACGGUACCUGCAGAAGAAGCACCGGCUAACUACGUG